UGGGGAAUAUUGGACAAUGGGCGGAAGCCUGAUCCAGCAACGCCGCGUGAGGGAUGACGGCCUUCGGGUUGUAAACCUCUUUCAGCACAGACGAAGCGCAAGUGACGGUAUGUGCAGAAGAAGGACCGGCCAACUACGUGCCAGCAGCCGCGGUAAUACGUAGGGUCCGAGCGUUGUCCGGAAUUAUUGGGCGUAAAGGGCUCGUAGGCGGUUUGUCGCGUCGGGAGUGAAAACACCGGGCUUAACUCGGUGCUUGCUUUCGAUACGGGCAGACUAGAGGCAUUCAGGGGGAGAACGGAAUUCCUGGUGUAGCGGUGAAAUGCGCAGAUAUCAGGAGGAACACCGGUGGCGAAGGCGGUUCUCUGGGAAUGUCCUGACGCUGAGGAGCGAAAAGUGUGGGGAGCGAACAGGAUUAGAUACCCUGGUAGUCCACACCGUAAAACGUUGGGCGCUAGGUGUGGGAUCCAUUCCACGGGUUCCGUGCCGCAGCUAACGCAUUAAGCGCCCCGCCUGGGGAGUACGGCCGCAAGGCU
rnacentral:rRNA from 1 species